UACGUAGGGUGCAAGCGUUGUCCGGAAUUAUUGGGCGUAAAGAGCUCGUAGGCGGUCUGUCGCGUCUGCUGUGAAAACUCGGGGCUUAACCCCGGGCCUGCAGUGGGUACGGGCAGACUAGAGUGCGGUAGGGGAGAUUGGAAUUCCUGGUGUAGCGGUGAAAUGCGCAGAUAUCAGGAGGAACACCGGUGGCGAAGGCGGGUCUCUGGGCCGAUACUGACGCUGAGGAGCGAAAGCGUGGGGAGCGAACAGG
rnacentral:rRNA from 1 species